CUAACCGCCCGCCUACUGCAAUCAGCCGGUGUUGGCACCACCGUUCGUGAAGCCGAGGUCCUUUAAGGGACAAAAAGAAUAAGGAAUUUAACUGGUUAGUUGAGUAGCGUGAGUUUGGAACUGAGCAGAGGGAAAGGCUUACGCGGAAUGAAAACUCGGUGUCUCUAAAGUACCUACUGUCCAAGGUACUGCAACAAGUUCUUGCUCUCUGGCCCCGGUCCCACUACCUGCUAAUGUUAGUAGUGGUCUUUUUAGUAGUUAGUAGUGGUCUUAUUGCAAGGGAUAGACGUUUGAUUUUACAUUUAACGUUUAUUGAGCGCCUGCCUGUUGUGAGGUCCCAGGCUCAGUGAAGGAAACAGAUUUCUGCAGUCUUGAAGGUUAUAUUCUAACAAAGGGAGGCGAUGCAUUAUGUGGUGUGUUAGAAGGUGGUUACGAGGUUUGGGAGAGGAAAAAGUAGGGCAGUUCACAUCAUUAAAUAGGAGGUCAGGUUAAACACCAGUGGGAAAGUGAGAUCUGAAAGAACUGAAGGAGGCUAGGAGAAGAGCAGUCCAGGCAGAGAGAAUAGUUGACAUUAUCAAAAAGAAAAGAGGGGCUGGAGAGAGGAAAGUGAAAUAGAGUGCAGAUUUCGCAAGGUCCUGUGUGCGUGGCAGUUACUCCGGAAUGGGGAGCAUUGCAGGAUUUUGAGCAGAAGAAUGACACCAUCUGACUUAUGUUUUAAAAUAAUUGCUCUGGCUGCUGUGUUUAGAACCAAAUGAAAGAGAAUAUUGACAGAAGCAAGGAAACCUGCUAGAAGGUUAUUACAAUAGUGCAUAGUACAGGGUGCAGGAGAUGAAUAUUGCUUGGAACAGGUUAGUAUGGAAAAGUGCUCAGAUUUUUUUUUUUGGGGGGGGUACUGUAAAUUGAAUUGAAGAUCUCUUAUGCAUGAGAACUCUACCACUGUGCUACCCGCCCCUGGCUAUUUUAAUUUUAUUUUGAGACAGGGUCUUGCUAAGUUGCCAGUCACAAACUUGUGAUCUGACCUAGCUCAGUGGCCCAUGCCCAUAAUCCCAGCAGCUCAGGAGGCUGAGCCAGGAGGAUGGAGAGUUCAAACAGCCUCAGCAAUGGGAAGGCACUAAGCAACUCAGUGAGACUCUGUCUCAAAAUACAAAAUUGGGCUGGGAUGUGGCUCAGUGAUGGAGUCUCCCUGAGUUCAAUCCCUGGUAUCCCAAAAAGAAACAAAGCAAACAAAGGAAAAACUUGUGAUCCUCCUGCCUCAGUUUCCUGAGUACCAGAAUUACAUGCAUUCACCAAGUGCCUGGCCAAAAGUGGUUAGACUGAAUGCAUUUUGAAGGUAGAGAUGAUAUCAAGAGAGGAAUUAAGACUCUCUAAGCCAGAUCUGGUGGCCUAUUACUGUAGUCUCAGCUAUUUGGGAGGCUGAGGCAGGAGAACUGAUUGAGCCCUGAUAUUGGGCCACAUAUCAAGAUCCCAUCUCAAGGGGCUGCAGUUGUUUGUAGUUCAGUGGUAGAGUGCUUGCCUAGUAUGUAUGAGGCACUGAGUUUGAUCCUCAGUACCACAUAAAGAUAAAUAAAUAAAAUGAAGGUAUUUUAUUCAUCUACAACUGAAAAAAUAAAACAAAAAGAAAAUCCCAUCUCAAGAAAGUCCCUUUAAGGGGCUGGGGAUAUGGCUCAAGCGGUAGCAUGCUCGCCUGGCAUGCGUGCGGCCCGGGUUCGAUCCUCAGCACCACAUACAAACAAAGAUGUUGUGUCUACCGAAAACUAAAAAAUAAAUGUUAAAAAUUCUCUCUCUCUCUUAAAAAAAGAAAAAAAGAAAGUCCCUUUAAGGAUUUAGCCUGAGCAAUUAAAGGGGGGCUUGACAUCGACUGAGGUAGAAAAGGCUAGGACCGGAGGAACAGAAUUGGAGACCCAGGAAAAUAAGUAUUUAUAAUAUUUUACAAAUUAGAAUCUUUUGGUCAGAGAAGCAUGGUUGUAACCAGAGCAUGUAACCGAGUUUGCUAACUUAGAUGAGGAUCAAGAAGAUGUUCUUCCACCCCAUAUGGAUGAUGGGGGGUUGGGUACUGGAGAUUGAACCCAGGAUGCUUUACUACUGAGCUACAUUUCCAGCCCUUUUUAUUUUUUGAGACAGAGUGUUGCUAAAUUGCUCAAGCUGACCUUGAACUUGCAAUUUUCCUGUCUCAGCCUCCCCAGUGGCUGGGAUUACAAGUACCAGGUGAGACCAAAGGAAGUUUUUAAACAGGCUUAUUACACAAAGAGAAAUUGAGAGCAGCCAAGAGAUAAUGGAAAUUUUUGAAUGCCUUCUGGUGAAUAUGGAUGGCCACUCAGACCCAAUCGCUCACUGAAAACAAUAAGAUUGCAGGAUAGAGGGGUUUGGUAUAGCAUCAGAAGCAGUUUGGAGUUCAACUGCAAGUUUCAAAGAUGCUGCCCAGAGAAAAGAAAAAGUGGUUCUGGAAGAGAGGGAGGGAAGGAAGUAGCUUCUGGAUGUGACAGUGCUGUCAAGAAGGCUCGGGAUUCUGAAGAUGGUGGCAAUGCAAGAAAGGUCAGACAUAUUCAGGUGAAAAACAUGGAAAAGUUAAGGUCUGGAAUGAGAUGUAAUGAAGUGGCUGCACAACAGAGUAAGGAUAAACCCAGGCAAGGGUUGACUUGUGUUGGAUGACCGAGGAUUCAUUUUAAGCAGCAACAUUUGCCUUUCCUGUAAGUAGGAUGGAUAAGCCUGUGUUUAUAGACCCUCCAGCUAAGACAAGGAAGAAAAUAUUAUGUAAGAGACUGAAAAAAGAUAUAUACAGAGGCAUGGAAUAUAGUUUGGUGGUAGAGCACUUGCCUAGCAUACUCAAGGCCCUGGGUUCAAUCUCCAUACUGCAUACACAAACACACACACACACACACACACACACAGAGUGAAGAAUUACCAGGCUAGGGGCUGGGGAGUGGCUCAAGUGGUAGCAUGCUCGCCUAGCAUGUGUGAGGCACUGGGUUUGAUUCUCAACACCACAUAAAAAUAAAGAUAUUGUGUCCACCUAAAAUAUAUAUAUAUAUAUAUAUAUAUAUAUAUAUAUAUAUAUAUAUAUAUAUUUUUUUUUUUUUUAAUUACCAGGCUAAAAUCUAAGUGAAAGUGUGAAUCCAGAGAGAAUCUAAGCACUUAUACUGUGUUUACCCCAAAGGUAUUUGCCAAACUAGGUGAACAUGAACUGGUGAAAGUAGAUAGGUUAUUGUGAGCAGGUGAAUGAGCACAUAAAUGUGAGCAGGCAUUGCAGAACAGAGAACUAGUCCAGGGUCUGCUGAGUAAUUAAGAGGAGAUGCCCCCGACCAAGGCUGGGAUCCCAAAGCAGUAGACCAAGAGUAAUUUGACCCAGCUUCCUUGACACCUCAGGGAAUUGGGAAAAAAAAAAUUCUUGGUGAGAGUAGAGAAGAAAGAGGGAAAGAAAUUAUUUCUGAGAAGUUGUGAUGACACACCAGACCUGGGGUGGAUAUGCAGCUCUAAAUUACAUAAAUUUUGCAGUUAAAAAUACUCUUUUUUUUUAAGAUGUUGAUGGACCUUUAUUUUAUUUUAUUAUUAUUAUUAGUAGUAGUAGUAGUAGUAGUUAUAGAUGGACACAAUGUCUAUUUUAUUUCUAUUUAUUUUUAUGUGGUGCUGAGGAUCGAAGCCAGGCCUCAAAUGUGCAAGGCAAGCGUUUUACCACUGAGCCACAACCCCAGCUCCGGACCUUUAUUUUAUUCAUUUAUUUAUAUAUGGUGCUGAGAAUUGAACCCAGUGUCUCAAACAUUCUAGGCAAGCGCUCUGCCACUGAGUCCCAAACCCAGCAGCUUAAAAAUACUCUUAGCUAUAAAUUUCAAGUGCCUGCAGAAACAGGACAUUGUGGUGUGCACCUGUAGUCCUAGUUAUUUUGGAAGCUGAGGCAAGGGGAUCACAAGAUCAAGGCAACUUAGUGAAACAUUAUCUCAAACAAUGUUAGUUAACUGGAAGAGGCAAAUACAAAUCUUCUAAAAUGUUUUCAUGGAGAAUAUAAAGUCAAAAUAUCCACAUAGAGAAAUAAGAAAAAGCAGAAUCUGACAUACAAACACUAAUAUAUUGGAAUUAUAUUCAAAUUAUAAAAUAUCUGUGAAUAUAUGUUGAAAGAAAUAAAACAUGAGCUUGAAAAAUAUUUGUAAGGAGCAAGAAACAGCAUCAACCCGGCAUGGUAAUGCAUGCCUAUAAUCCCAGUAGCUCAGGAGGCUAAGGCAGGAGAAUCCUGAGUUCAAAGCCAAACUCAGCAAAAACAAGGCACUAAAGCAACUCAGUGACACCCUGUCUCUAAAUAAAAUACAAAAUAUUUUAUUUUGGGGAUGUGGCUCAGUGGUUGAGGGUCUCUGAGUUCAAAUCCCUGGUACCCCCCACCAAAAAAAAAAAAAAAAGAGGAGGAGGAGGAGGGAAAGAAAGGAAAGAGAAAAAAUAAACAACAUCAAAUGACCUAUCAGAGCUGAAAAGAAACAAAUAGGACUUUUUCUUUUUUUCUUUCUCAGAACUGGGAAUUUAACUCAGAGGUUCUGUACCACUGAACUGUAUCCAUAACUCUUUUCUUUUGUUAAUAUAUAUAAGCUUUUAGUCGUCGAUGGAACUUUAUCUGUGGUGCUGAGAAUUGAACCCAAUGCUUCACACUUGCUAGACAAGCACUUUACCACUGAGCUCUACCACCAGCCUCCAUAAAUCUUUUAAUAUAAAUUUGAGACAGAGUCUAAGUUAUGAAGGCUGGCCUCAACUUGCAACCCUCCUGCCUCAGCUCCCCAUGCCUGACCCAAAUGGAAAUUUUCAGAAAUUAAACACAAUAAUUGAAAUUUAAAACUCAAUAGAAUGGAAAUUUUUUAUCUGAUAAAAGAUAUACCUAUAAACAAGUUCACAAUUGUGAAACAUGGAAUACUUUCUUUCCAAGAUUGCAAACAAGUCAAGGAUGUCCACUCUCACUACUUCUAUUCAACAUUAUACUGAAAUUUUUAGCCAGUGCAAUAAGGCAAGAAAAAGGAAACACAUGAGAAUUAGAAAUCAAGAACCAAAAUUAUUUCCAUUUGUGCCUGACAUGAUUAUUUACAUAGAAAAAUCCUAAGGAAUCUAUAACAUUACUACAACAGAUAAAUUAAUUUGGCUCUGCCUUGGAUACAAAGUCUAUAUUGCAAAAAUCAGUUGUGGGCUGGGGAUAUAGCUCAGUUGGGAGAGUGCUUUCCUUGAAUGCACAAGGCCCUGGGUUCAAUCCCCAGCAUCACAAAAAAAAAAAAAAAAAAAUCAGGUGUAAAUUUUCAGCUGUAAAUUUUGUAUAUUAUUAGCAAAAACUGAAAAGCAAAAUUUAAAGGAUGUCCACAUUACAACUCUUCAUUUAACAAAGUCCUAGAAAUUCUAGCCAGCAUAAUAGGGCAAGAAUAGGAAUUAAGAGGCAUACAGACUGGAAUAGAAGAAAUAAAACUGUCACAAUUUGUAGAUUACAUAAUUGUCUAUAGAAAAAAUAUCAAGGAAUUUACCAAGAAAAUUCUAAGGGUGGGAGAUGUGAUUUCGGGUAAAGCUCGCCUAGAAUUUAUGAAGCCCUGGGAUCAACCCCCAGUACUACAAAAGAAACAAAACAAAACAAAACUCCUAGAACUAAGGUCUAGGGAUAUAAGUUCACCAAGGUCUAAGGAAAUAAGACACACAUUUUUCAAAAGCAAUUAUAUUUCUAAAUAUUAGCAAUUAACAUGUGGACAUUGAAAUGAAAAAUACAAUAUCAUUGCCAGGUGUGAUGUUGCACAACUGUAAACUUUGUGACUUGGAGUCUGAUGGAGGAGGAUUGCAAGUUCAAGGCCAGCCUCAACAAUUUAGCAAGACCUUUGUCUGAAAAAAAAUAUUUUAGAAGUGCUGGGGAUGCAGCUCAGUGGCAGAGUGCCCUUGGGUUUAAUACUCAGCAUGGGAAAAAAAAUCAUCUACAAUCUCUCAAAGUAUGAAAAAAAGAAAUAAGUAACCUAAUAAUUUAUAACCAAUAAAAUGUGUAUAGGGCUUCUAUGCCUAAAACUACACAACACCGAUGAAAAGAAAUUAAGGAGAUAUCUGUAAAUGGAGAGAUAUGCUGUGUUAAAGGAGCAGAAGCUCAAAAAAAGAGAGAAGACUCAAAUCAAUUCUCCCCUAUUUGGUACACAGAUAUAAUGGAGUUCCUAUCAAAAUAUCCCAGCAAGAUUUUUUUAAUAGAUAGAGAUAAGAUUAUUCUAAAAUUUAUAUGAAAAAGCAAGGGCAGGGGGUGCUGGGUUGUGGCUCAGUGAUAGAGUGCUUGCCCUAGCAUGUGGGAGGCACUGGGUUUGAUCCUCAGCACCACAUAAAAAUGAAGAAAUAAAGGAAUUGUAUCCAACUACAAAUUUAAAAAUAUUUUAAAAAAAGAAAAAGAAAAGGCAAGGGAAAUAGAAAAGCUUGAACAAAAAUUGAAGAAUAAAGAGGGGCUGGGAUUGUAGCUCAGUGGUAGAGUGCUUGCCUAGCACUUGUGAGGCACUGGGUUCAGUUCUCAGCAAUGCAUGUAAUAAAUAAAAUAAAGGUCCAUCAACAACUAAAAAAUAAAAUAAAAGAGGAAGGAAUAGGGCUGGCAGACUGCCAUCAGAUGUUGGCACUUAAUGUGGGGCUUCCUAACCUCCAGAACUGUGAAAAAUAAAUUGCUGUUCUUUAUGAAUUACCUAGUUUCAGGUAUUCUUUUAUAGCUCAGUAGCAGAGUGCUUGCCUACCACCUGUGAGGCAUUGGCUUCAAUUCUCAGCACCACAUAAAAAUAAACAAAAGUAUUGUCUACAACUAAAAAAAAAAAUGUUUUUAAAAAAUAAAUAAAUAAAUAAACAAAAUAAAGGUAUUUUACUCAUCUAGUUAAAAAAAAUGGAACAAAUAAAGGCAGGCUGUCCAUCUACAACUAUUAAAAAAUAAAAAUUUGGAGGGAAGGAAUCACUUUCCAGAUGUUUUAUUUAAAGUUAACCAAGACUGUGGAAUGGAUUAGAGAACCCAGAAGAGAUACACAAAUAUUCCCAAUGGUUUUGUUGUUGUUAUGAAAAACCAGCCUCUAUCUCAGAGCAAAACCUGUCCAAGGAAGGGACAUGGCCUUUGUCCUUGGAAAAACCCACAGAGCACUCCUAAGCACAUUCCCACCCUGCUAAGUUGUUUAUCUACAAAUAACAGGAGAAAUCUGCUGCCCAGGUGUCCCUGACUCAGUCAGGCUAGGUGGAGAUCAAUAGCAACCCCCUAGCAGCCACCAAUCAGCAUGAGACAGGGAAAUACCUGGGAUGCCAGAUGACCCUCCCAGUUUAUGGUGGUUGAUAACAUGUUGGGAAACCAUGUAGUUCAGUAUGUACACCCCUCUUGGCUUAAACCAAUCAGUUCAAAUGAAUCCCCCUUUUGUACUGACCAAUCACCCCUACCCAACUUGUUCCCGCCAGUGAAUGUGCUAAUCAUGUUUUAGAGUUGUUAUUUUAUUUUCCCGCGGUGUGUGAUGAUUUGCUAAAAGAGGCUAUGAUGUAUGUGAAGUCCCUGCCCUCUCCAAAGAAUGUAUAAAACUGCUGCAAAACCUGGGCUGGGGCCUCUCAGUGUCACCAGUUGCUGUGUGUGCUCGCUGAGGACCGAGCUAGCUCGCAAUAAAUUUUACACCUAAAGCUUGAUUCAUAAAGGAAAAGGGUGAUAUAUUGGACAUCAGAAUUACAAACUUAAAAAUAGCUUUAUUGAACCAUAUAUAAUCUGCAUGCCAUGCAACUUACCCAUUUAUACAUAUUAUAUACUUUAGGUUUAUUGUUCAAUGGUUUUUGUACAUUAUUUUUUAAAUUGCAAUAUGCUAUAAUGUAAAACUUUCUAUCUUAACUAUUUUAUUUUAUUUAUUUUUUUGAUUCAGCAACAUCAAUGUUUAUAAAAGCACAAUUCACAAUAAACAGCCAAGUUAUGAAAUCAGUCCUUAAUAGAUGAAUGGAUAAGAAAAUGUGGUAUAUACACACCAUAAAUUUUACUCAGCUAUAAAGAACAAUGGAAUUAUGUCAUUUGCUAGUAAAUGGAUGAAACUGGAGAAUAUCUUGCUAAGUGAAAUAAGCCAGGAUCAAAGUCAAGGGUUUGUUUACUCUCUUUUGCAGAAGCUAGAGAUAAAUAAGAAAUAAAAAAUGAAGGGAGACCUCAUGAAAAUAGAAGGGAGAACUGGAAUAAACGAAGGGGACUGAGGGGAGGAAAGAGGAAUGGUUAGGGGAGGAAUUGUAGAUUAAAAUUAACCAAAUUAUGCUAUGUGCAUGUGUGAAUACAUCAUGAUGAAUUCCACUUUUAUCUAUUUUUUUUAGUUUUCUUAUUGUGUUAUUUAUAUAGUAUCUUUUUUUUUGCAUUACAAUCCUUAUUACACAUAUAGAGCACAAUUUUUCGUAUCUCUGUAUAUAAAGUAUGUUCACGCCAAUUUGUGCCAUUAUACAUGUACUUGUUUUUGCAUUAUAAUUCUUUUUUUAAAGAAUUUUAAUAUUUAUUUUUUAGUUUUCGGCAGACACAACAUCUUUGUUUGUAUGUGGUGCUGAGGAUCGAACCCAGGCCACACGCAUGCCAGGCAAGUGCGCUACCGCUUUAGCCACAUCCCCAGCCCGCAUUAUAAUUCUUAAUACACAUAUAUACCACAAGUUUUCAUAUCUCUGUUUGUAUAUAAGGUAUAUUGACACCAGAUUCAAGUCUUCAUAUAUAUACUUUAGUUGUUUUUUUUUUAAUAUUUAUUUUUUCAUUGUAAUUGAACAUAAUACUGUUGAGGGCCACAACCAGGUCAAGAUGGCGCCUGGCACUUUGCCAGGAGGAGUGGUUUGUGAAGUAACGCCACCCAUCCAUUAAGAUGAUGGAGAUUCCUUAUUGGCUGAUUGCUGUAUCUAGAUGAUGUUAAUUGAAACAAGCUGUGUAUAAUCGGUUGGGUAUAUAUACCUCUGCUGUCCUGCAAUAAAGCGGCUCCCGCUGUUUCAACCUUCACAAGUUGCUUGUCACCCCCCCCCCCAUUAUUUUGUCCAGCAAGACUGCAGCACAAUACUUUUAUUUUAUUUGUUUAUUUUUAUGUGGUACUGAGGAUUAAACCCAGGGCCUCACACGUGCUAGGCGAGCACUUUACCACUGAGCCACAGCUCCAUCCCCCAUACAUGUAUUUUGUAUAAUGAUGAUCAUUACAUUCCACCAUCCUUGCUAAUCCCCUUCCCCUCCCUUUCCCUCCCACCCCUCUACCCUAUCUAGAAUUAAUCUAAUCCUCCCAUGCUCUCCCUCUCUACCCCACUAUGAGUCACCUCCUUAUCUUAACUAUUUUUAAACUCAAAGGCAAUAAUUACAUUUGCAUUGUGGUGCAACCACUGAGCUAUACUCCCAGUCCAUUUUGUUUUAUUUGAGACAGGGACUCCAUAAGUUACCCAGGCUGACCUUGAAUUUAUAUCCUCUUGCCCCAGCCUCACAAGUAGCUAGGAUUACAAGCAUGUGCCACCAUGCCUGCCCAAAACUUUAUCACUUCAGACAGAAACUGUGUUGUGUUUGAAUGUAUUCCUUCCAAAAUUCAGAUAUUGAAACUGGCCAAUGUGACAAUAUCGAGAAGGGGGGACUUUAAGAGGUGACGAGGUUUUGAGGCCUCCUAAUUUAGAAAUGGAAUUAAGUGCCUUUAUUAAGAGUUUGAUGGGAGCUGGGGAUGUGGCUCAAGCAGUGGUAGCGCACUCGCCUGGCAUGCGUGCGGCCCUGGUUUGAUCCUCAGCACUUCAUACAAACAAAGAUGUUGUGUCCGCCGAGAACUAAAAAAUAAAUUAAAAAAAAAAAAAAGAGUUUGAUGGAAGGAGUUUUGCUCUUUUGCCAUGUGAGUAUGAAGUGUUACUACCCUUUGGAGUACUCAUUGUUCAAGGCAUCUUCUUGGAAGCAGAAAGCAGCCCUCAUCAGAUGCUAGCAAUCCUUAAUUUGGGGCUUCUUAACCUCCAGAACUGUGAGAAAUAAAUUGCUGUUCUUUAUGAAUUAUCUAGUCUCAGAUAUUCUUUUAUAGCAGCACAAAUGAGCUAAGACAUCAUUGAACUCCCGGGCUGAAAAGCCCCAGCAUAGUGCUUGCUGAUCCCAAAGAAAGAACUUGGAGAGGAUUUGGACAUUUUCUGACUCACGAACUCCAUGGCAACAGCAGGCUGGGACCAUAUGGAGGGCACAAUGUACUUACAAGCUGGGGGAAUAGAUACACAGGAUGGGUUGUGUGCCAACUGUGCAUAUGAGUUUCUUCAGAUAUUUUAUUAAGUACAUGUCUUUACUUCAAGGCCAAGGUCCUUCUGCUUUGAUUCCUACAGUAAAGAUUGGAGAUAAGUGGCCAGUUUGCCUCCUCCUUACCCUGCCUUGGAAGUACAUUCUUUGAAGUCUUUCUUAGCUUACCUCCUGGAACAAGCAUUCCUGGGCCCUGACCAGUGUUAAACCCCACUGACACUCAUUAAGUAAGAACUUCCCAUGUUUCCCUCUUGCUAGCUAUAGGUUACCUCUUGGUGACCUUUAAUCCCCUUUCCGUCUUUUUUAAUUCGCUUAUUCUAAGUAUUUCAUCUAAGUGGAAUGAUAAAAUAUUUAUACUUUUGUGUCUGGCUUAUUUCACUUAGCCAAGUUGAUUCAUUUCAUAGCAUCUAUUGGAAGGAGCUUGACUUUUUUUUUUUUUUAAGAGAGAGUGAGAGAGAGGUAGAGAGAGAGAGAAUUUCAACAUUUACUUUUUAGUAUUUGGUGGACACAACAUCUUUGUUUGUAUGUGGUGCUGAGAAUCGAACCCGGGCCGCACGCAUGCCAGGCAAGCGCGCUACAGCUUGAGCCACAUCCCCAGCCCAACUUUUUUUUUUUUAAAGAGAAUUUUUUUUUAAAUAUCUAUUUUUUAGUUUUUCGGCGGACACAACAUUUUUGUUUGUAUGUGGUGCUGAAGAUCGAACCCAGGCCGCACGCAUGUUAGGCGAUUGCGCUACCGCUUGAGCCACAUCCCCAGCCCCAGGAACUUGACUUUUUAAAAAAAAAAAAAAUUCUUUUUUCAGUUGUAGGUGGACACAAUACCUUGGCUUAUUUCAUUUAGCAUGAUAGUCUCCAGUUCCAUCCAUUUACCAGAAAAUGCCAUAAUUUCAUUCUUUAUUAUGGCUGUGUAUAUAUACCACAUUUAAAAAAAUAUUUUUAAUUGUCAAUGGACCUUUAUUUAUUUAUUUACUUAUUUUAUUGAUAUGUGGUGCUGAGAAUUGAACCCAGGGCCUCACACAUGUUAGGCAAGUGCUCUACCACUGAGCCAUAACCCCAGCCCAUCCACAUUUUCUUUAUCCAUUCAUUUGUUGAAGGGUUCCAUAGCUUGGCUAUUGUGAAUUGAAUUGCUAUAUACACUGAUGUGGCUGCAUCACUAUAGUAUGCUGAUUUUAAAUCCAUUGGAUAUAUGCUGAGGAGUAUGAUAACUGGAUCAAAUGGUGGUUCCAUUCCAAGUUUUCUGAGGAAUCUCCAUACUGCUUUCCAGAGUGGUUGCACCAAUUUGCAGUUCCACCACCAAUGUAUGAGUGUAGCUUUCCCCCACAUCUUUGCCAACAUUUGUAGUUUUAAUUGGCAUUUCUCUAAUUGCUAGAAAUAUUGAACUUUUUUUUUAUAUAUUUGUUGACCGAUCAUAUUCCCCCUUCUGUGAAGUGUCUUUUAGUUCCUUUACCCUUUUAUUGAUUGGGUUAGUUGGUUUUUUUGUGUUAAGUUUUUUUGAGUUCUUUAUACAUCCUGGAGAUUAAUGCUCUAUCUGAGGUGCAGGUGGCAAAGAUUUUCUCCAUUCUCUGUUUACAUUCCUGAUUAUUUCCUUUGCUGUGAAGAAGCUUUUUAAUUCGAUACCAUCCCAUUUAUUGGUUCUUGAUUUUACUUCUUGUGCUUUAGGAGUCUUGUUGAGGAAUUUGAUUCCCAAGCCAACAUGAUGGAGAUUUGGCUCUACCUUUUCUUCCAGUAAGUGCAGGGUCUCUGGUCUAAUGCCUAGGUCCUUGAUCCACUUUGAGUUUUGUACCAAUAUCACCAAUUUCAUAGACAUCCUGGAGGAGACACAAAGUCUUGUGAGUUGGAUGAGUUGGUGGCAGGACGAAAUCUAAAGCUUUGAGCAGUGUGGUUCCAGGGGAACUGCCCUCUUUGCGGUUGACUUCCCAUCCCUUGAACCAAGGGAUAUUAACAUUUGGCUCCAAUAUGUUCCAGCCAGAAAUUGGCACAAAUGCUACUAUGUCAGGAUUGUAGCCAAUUUUCUUAAAGUAGGUGCUGACUUCCUUAACAAUUUCCUCGUAUCUCUUCCUACUAUAGGGUGGCUCAGUGGAAUCCAAUUCGUUAACAUCAACAGUUAGUUGUUUCACAUCCAGUGUGUAAGACAAGAGGCCAUACUCAUGGGUCUGCCCAUUCUCGGAGAUACCAGUUUCAAAGUCACCAACACCAGCAGCAACAAACAGGACAACAUAGUCAGCCUGUGAUUAUGUGCCUGUAAUCAUGUUUUUGGUAAAGUCUCUGCGUCCUGGGCCAUCAAUGAUAAUCACAUAAUACUUGUGGGUCUCAAAUUUCCACAGGGAGAUGUCAAUGGUGACACCUUGCUCACGCUGAGCUUUCAGUGUAUUUAAGACCCAGACAUACUUAAAGGAGCCCAUUCCCAUCUCAGCAGCCUCCUUCUCAAAAUUUUCAGUGGUUCUUUUGUUGAUUCCACAUUUGUGGAUCAGAUGGCCAGUGGACCUGCCAGAAUCUACAUGUCUGAUGACAAUGAUGUUGAUGUCUUUUCCUUUCCCAUUUUGACUUUGAUUUAGCAGUGGGUUUUCAUGACACCUGUAUUCUGGCAGCAAACUCAUCGCACAAAAGUCAUUCUCAAUAGUGUCCUUUGAUACAUAAAAGUUUUUAAUUUUGAUAAGGUCUAAUUUAUCUAGUCUUUUAUUGCUUGUUCUUUUUGAGUGCUACCCAAGAAAUCAUCACCAAAUCCUGUGUCAAAGAUUUUUCCCUAUGUUUUCUUCAAGGAGUUUCAUAAUUUUAACUCUUACAUUUUUGAUCAAUUGGGUUAGUCAUUGUAUAUAGUUUAAGAGUCCAGCUUAAUUUUUUUUUAGUUAUACAUGACAGCAGAAAGUAUUUUAACAUAUAAUACAUACAUGGAAUGUACAUACAUCAAAGCUUAAUUUUUUUACAUGUAAAAUAUUUUAUUUUCCUUGCAUCAUUUGUUGAAAAGGUUGUUAUUAGUCCACAUUUAUCCAUUAAAUGGUCAUGGCAUCCUUGUCAAAUGUCAGUUGAUGGUAUGAGUUGGGGUUUAUUUCUGGGUUCCCCUCUUUAUUCCAUGGGUCUAUAUGUCUGUCUUUAUCCAAUACUAUGCAUUUUUUUGAGAGAGAGAGAGAGAGAGAGAGAGAGAGAGAGAGAAUUUUAAUAUUUAUUUUUCAGUUUUCAGCGGACACAACAUCUUUGUUUGUAUGUGGUGCUGAGGAUCGAACCCGGGCGCACGCAUGACAGGCGAGCGCGCUACCGCUUGUCACAUCCCCAGCCCCAUACCAUGCAUUUUUUUUUUUUUAAUGUUUAUUUUUUAGUUUUUGGCAGACGCAACAUCUUUGUUUGUAUGUGGUACUGAGGAUCGAACCCGGGCCACACGCACGCCAGGCAAGCGCGCUACCGCUUGAGCCACAUCCCCAGCCCAUACCAUGCAUUUUUGAUGACUGCUUCUUGUAGCAAGUUUUAAAGCCAGGAAAUGUGAGUUCUAUAACUUUAUUCUUUUUUAGUUGUAGUUGGACACAAUACCUUUAUUUUAUUUAUUAAUUUUUAUAUGGUGCUGAGGAUUGAACUCAGGGCUUGGCAUGUGCUAGGUGAGUGCCCUAUCGCUGAGCCACAACCCCAGCUCAACUCUAAGAUCAUUUUGGCUAUUUAGAAUCUCUUAAGAUUCCAUGUGAGUUUUUGGAUGGCCUUUUCUUUCUAUAAAAAAUACAUUUGGGGGGGCUGGGUUGUGGCUCAGUGGCAGAGCAUUUGCCUAGCAUAUGUGAGGCACUGGAUUCGAUUCUCAGCACCACAUAUAAAUAAAUAAAGGUCCAACCAACAACUAAAAAAAAAUUAAAAAACAAAAACAACAACAACAAAAACACCAUUUGAAUUUUAAGAGGGAUUGUUUUGAAUCUAUGGACCACCCUUCACCCUUGUAUUGUCACCUUAACAGUAUUAAGUAUUUUAAUUAAUAAACAUUAAAUAUAUAUAUUUUAUGUUUGUUUAGGUCUCAUUUUAUAUAUAUAUAUAUAUAUAUAUAUAUGUAUUUUUUUUUUUUUUUUUGAGAUGGGUCUUGCUGUGUUGUUCACGCUGAUCUAGAACUCCCGGACUCAAGAAAUCCUCCUGCCUCAGCCUCCUGAGUAGCUGGGACUACAGGCGCAUGCCACCUUUUUUUAAAAUAAUUUUUGAUGUAUAAAUCAAUCCUUAUUUAAAUUUACUCCGAAGUAUUUUAUUCUCUUUUGGCUACUGUAUUUGAAAUUGUCUUUAAAUUUCCUUUCUAGGUUGUUCACUGAAAGUGCAUAGAGAAGUACAACUGAUUUUUGUGUUUUAAUUUUGUAUCCUAUAUUUUUGUUCAAUUCUUUUUUUUUUUUUUUUUUUUUUUUUUUUUUUUGUGAUGGGAAUUGAACCCAGGGAUUGAUCCAUGCUAGGCAAGCACUGUCACUGAACUACAUCCCCAGCACUUUUUAAAAAUUUUUAUUUUGAGAGUGUUGGCAAACCUGUAAUCCUGGUGACUGAGGAGGCUGAAGCAGGAUAAUUGCAAAUUCAAGGUCCCCUGCACAAUUCAGCAAGACCCUGUUUCAAAAUUAAAAAUUAAAAAAGGGCUGGGGAGGGACUGGGAUUGUAGCUCAGUGGUAGAGUGCUUGCUUGCCUUGCAGUGAGGCACUGGGUUUGAUCCUCAGCACAGCAUAUAAAUAAAUAAAGGUAUUAUGUCCAUUUACAACUUAAUAAUAAAGGGGUUGGGGAUGCAACUCAGUGGUAGAACACCUCUGGGUACAAUCCCUUCUACUACAACUAUUACAAAAUCUUUUUUGAGCCAGAGUCUUACUAAAUUGCCCCCCGGGGCUAGCCUUGAACUUGAAAUCUUGCCUCCAUUUCUCAAGUAGCUGGGAUUAGCAGGUAAGCACCACAAUGCCUGGUUUGAACUCACUUUUUAACACUAACAAUUGUGUGUGUGUGUGUGUGUGUGAAUUCUUUAGGGUUUUCUACAUAAAAGAUUUCAUCUGCAAACUAAUAUUUUUCUUUCUUUCCAAUUAUGUGCCAUUAUUUUUUUUCUUACCUAAUUGCUUUAGCUGAAAUUUCCAAUAAUAAGUCAAAUAGAAAUGAUAUAAGUAGAACUGGAAUGUAGCUCAGUGGUAAAAUGUUUGUCUUGCCCUGAGUUGAUCCCCAGUAAUGAAAAAGAAAAAAAAAAGUGACUAACAUAGGUAUCGUUGUUUUGUUCCUUAGAGGAAAGGCUUCCAUUAUUUCACCACUGAGCGUGAUGUUAACUGUGGGGUUUUCAUAGGUAUGCUUUAUCUACUUAUUGUUGAGGAUAAAAUUCUUAGCAUACUGUUUUUAUCAUGAAAACAUGUUAAAUUUUGUUGAACUUUUUUCAGCCUUGAGAUGAUCAUGUUGUUUUUUCCUUCACUCUAUUUAAAGUUAAUUCUAUUAUACUUAAAUAAAUAUGAAUUCCUUGUACUAAUUAUUCAAUUUAACAUACCUAAUAAUAUGUGUAUUCCAAGAAUUAAUCUUUGUUAUGAUUAUAUAAUUCUUUUAAUUUGCUGCUAAGUUGGGUUUGUUAGAGCUUUUGUUGAGAAUUUUUGCAUUUAUACUCAUGAGAUAUUUUCUUGAUUUAUAAUUUUCUUGUCUUUGUUUGGAAUUGUUAUCAGGGUAGCGCUGGCCCCAUAGAAUAACUUAGAAAACAUUCCCUUCUCUUCAAAUUUUUGGAGGAGUUUGAGUAAAAUUGGUAAUAGUUCAUUUAAAUAAUACAUCAGUAAAACUAUCUGAUUCUGAAUUUUUCCAUUGUUGUAGGGAUAUUUUUUGAUUAUUGAUACAACCUCUUUACUAGUUAUUGGUUUCUUCAGAUUUUUCAGUUUCUUCUUGAGUCAGUUUUGGUAGAUGGUGUGUUUCUAGAAAAACUUCCACUUCAUCUAAGUUAUCCAAUUUGUGAGAAUGCAACCAUUUGUGGUUUUAUGUUUUUAUUCUGUAAAAUCAGUAAUAAUGUUUUCUUUCAUUUCUGAUGAUUUUUAUGAGUUAGAAAACAGUUCCAAUUUUAUUCAUAAAAUUAUUAAUCCAAAUUGCAAAAGCAGAUUUACAUAGGCAUGGGUCAAUUACAAAACAGGAGGACAAUGAAAUGUUCCAGAAACAUCCUGAAAAGUUCCAAGCAGCACAUACUAUGCAAAACAUCCAGUUAAACCACAGUUGUGGGACAGGUAAUAUUCAUUACUGCCUUUUCUCCAUGAACUCUUCCCUAUAUUUGCUUUUCUUUUCCAACUUGCUGAGACUUGGCUCUGCAUAAAAAAAAAAAAAAAAUCUUUAUCAAAGUCUAGCCUGGUAAUAACCACCUUGCUUGGGUGGAUGCCCAUGUGGACGGUUGUGCUGUUAGCCUUCUCAGCUGCACCCACUCCGUGUAAAUGACAUAUUUUUCCUUACACCUGGACUACCUUGCUGAUUUGCUGAUCUUUGCAGUGUCCUCGAACUACCUGGACCUUGUCGUCCUUGCAGAUGGGCACCUGAAGGACUUGUAAUUCCGCUGUAGCUCCUCAGAGAGCCUGAGAACCAGAACUUCCUGCACAUGUGCUUUUAUGGUUUUUAGUGGUCUGAGAUCACUAAGAGGUUGAACUUCAUGCAGACUGAGGGCACCUGCGGUGUCAGUUGUUUCUUUUUUUUUUUUUUUUUCCUUUCUGGCUUUAAUAUUUUGAGUCUUCUCCCCCCCCCCCUUUUUUAAGUUAAUCUGGCUAAAAUUUUGUCAAUUUUGUUGAUCUCAUGAACCAGAUUUUAGUUUUAUUGUCUCUAUUGUUUUUCUAUGUUCUAUUUAUCUCCAAUCUAAUCUGUAUUAUUUUCUUCCAUCUGAUGAAUUUGGAUUUCAUAUACUCUAAUUUCUUCCUGUGUAUAGUUAUUUUAUUGAUAUGAGAUCUUCUUUUGUAAUAUAUGCAGUUGUGGUUAUAAACUGCUUUCACUAUAUCCUAUAAGUUUUGGAAUUUGUGUUUUCAUUUUCAUUCAUUCAAAAUAAUUUUCUAAUUUUCCUUGUAAUUCUUUUUCUUUGACACAUUAGCUGUUGAAGAGUAUGUUGUUUAAGGUGGAUGGAGUAGUGCCCACCUGUAAUCUCAGCACUCCCAGCUACUGGGGAGGCUGAGGCAGGAGGAUCACAAGUUUGAGGUCAGUCUCAGCAAUUUAGCAAGAACCUGUCUCAAAAUAUAAAAUUAAAAGGGGGCUGAGGAUGUGGCUCAAGCGGUAGCGGGCUCGCCUGGCAUGCGUUUGGUCGAGUUUGAUCCUCAGCACCACAUACAAACAAAGAUGUUGUGUCCGCCGGAAAACUAAAAAAUAAAUAUUAAAAAUUCUCUCUCUCUCUCUCUCUCUCUUUAAAAAAAAAAAAAUUAAAAGGGCUGGGAAUGUAGCUCAGUGGUAAGACUACCCCUGGCUUUAUUUUUAUUUUUAUUUUUUUUAAUUUUUUAUUGUUGGCUGUUCAAAACAUUACAUAGUUCUUGAUAUAUCAUAUUUCACAAUUUGAUUCAAGUGGGUUAUGAGCUCCCAUUUUUACCCCAUAUACAGAUUGCAGAAUCACAUCAGUUACACAUCCAUUGAUUUACAUAUUGCCAUACUAGUGUCUGUUGUAUUCUGCUGCCUUUCCUAUCCUCUACUAUCCCCCCUCCCCUACCCCUGGCUUUAAUCCCCAGUACAAAAAAAAAUUUAAAAAUCUAAGACUAUGUAUUUCAUAUAAGAACUUGUCUGCUAUGUACAUAGCCUUAGUGAACACACACACACACACAAAAAAAAACUGUUUAUAAUCUGGUCUAUCUUCUAAUGUGAUCAUUUUGGUCUUAAACCUUUCCCUCCUCACUUCCUUCUCUCUGCCUUUAGUUCAGUGGCUCAGUAUAGGCAUAUACAAUGCUUGCAGAUAGUUGAAUAAGUUCAUAUUUAGAAAUCAUUUACAGAGAACAAUCUUUCCCAUGAAUUUCAACACAAAAUACAAAUAUGCUAAAUUUAUUAAUUUGUCAUACACUAACAAUCUCUUUAAUAUCUAGAAAAUAAAUGUUGCAAAGUUGUCCAUUAUUUAUGCUAUAUAUGCAGCAAAACAGAAAUGCACAAAGCCUACAGAAAAAUGUCUGAAAAUGCCCAAGUAUGAAUGCGCUCAGCCCUUUGCAAUUGCUUCCCUCCUGUCACCUCCACAUCAAUGAACAAGUACAGGCAGUACACCACAGAGUGGUGUAAUAAUUCCAUUUCCAAAAACCAAUAUCUCAUGUGAAUUUAGAAAUAAAAGAUAUUUACAAAAUGAUGUUUUACUACCUCUACACUAGAUAACACUAGAUAUUUCAAAUAAUGGCUCAAUUGUCCACUAUGUACUCAAUAGUCUUGAAUAAAGUGCACACAUGUCACAAUAGUUCUAAUAAGAAAGUCCCUUCAAAUUCUGGCCGUGCACAAUUCAGUGGGCUAUAAUGCUCAAUUCUCAGAAGAUAAUCUUUUUUUUUUUUUAAGUUGUAUAUGAACACAAUAUGUUAUUUUAUUUUUUUAAUAUUUAUUUUUUUAGUUUUCCGCAGACACAACAUCUUUGUUUGUAUGUGGUGCUGAGGAUCGAAUCUGGGCCUCUCGAAUGCCAAGCCAAAGAGCUACCGCUUGAGCCACAUCCCCAGCCCCACCUUUCUUUAUUUUUAUGUGGUGUUGAGGAUGGAGUCCAGUGCCUCACACAUGCUAGGCAAGUGCUCUACCAAUGAGCUACAAUAACAGCCCUCAGAAUACAAUCUUUCUUAGGAAGUUUAUUUUAUUUAUUUUUUAGGUACUGGGGAUAUAACACAUUUUACCACUGAGCUGCAUCCCAAUCCUUUUUUUUUUGAGACCAAGUUACUUAGGGCCUCUAAAUUGUUGAGGUUGGCCUUGAACUUGUGAUCCUCCUGUUUCAGCCUCCCAAAUCACUUCUAGAGGUGAACUAGCAAAUCCAUUUCAAAAAGUCACUUCCAAUAGACAAUUUCUGAAUUUUUAAAACAAAUGGAGGGCUGGGGAUGUGGCUCAAGCAGUAGCGCGGUAGCGCGCUCCCCUGGCAUGGGUGCGGUUAGAUCCUCAGCACCACAUACAAAGAUAUUGUCUCUGCUGAUAACUAAAAUGUAAAUAAAAUAUUUAAAAAAUGGACAUUUACCAGAAUCGUUACUUACUAUCUUGCUUCCAAGCUCUUUACAACUAGGAAGUCCAGAUGUAGGGAAAAGUUUUCCUUCAAAAGGAUAGGGAGGGGGACGUGGUGGCGCAUGCCUGUAAUCCCAGCGGCCUGGGAGGCUGAGGCAGGAGGAUCAUGAGUUCAAACCCAGCCUCAGCAAUUGUGAGGCUCUAAGCAACUCAGUGAGACCCUGUCUUUAAAUAAAAUACAAAAAUAGGUCUGGGGAUGUGGCUCAGUGGUCAAGUGGUCAAGUGCCCCUGAGUUCAAUCCCUAACCCCCCCAUCCCCGCCUCCGCAAAAAAAAAAAAAAAAAAAAGAUAGGUACUGCCAUACCCAGCUCCAGAUUUUUUUUUUUCCUCAUGAUUUCAUUUUGUAUCACUCAUCAAUGCCAAUCCCAAGGUCAAGAAAAUUUACCCCUGUGUUUUCUUCUAAGGUUUUUUUGUGUUUUACUCUUUUAUUUUUAGACCUUUUUUAUUGAACCAUUUUCAGUUAAUUGCUGUAUAUGGUGUGGGAUACGGGUAAGCUCAGCUUGAUUCUUUUGCAUAUGGGUAGCCAGUUGUUCCAGCACCUUUUCUUUCUACCUUGUUCAGUCUUAGAAACUUUAGAAGUUGAGACAGGAGGAUUGCAAAUUGGAGGCCAUCCUGAGAGAGCUCUGUCUCAGAAUAAAAAGUGCUGGGCAUGUAGCUCAGUAGUAUGGUACCCCGUGGUUCAAUCCCCAGUCCCCUUCCCCCCUAAAAAAAAAAUCACUGAGCCCAUCCCAAAGAAAUGUUAAUGAAGCAGCUUCCAGCAAACGUGGAGAUGCUAAUCCAAAAGUCCUUCCUGGAGCUGGGGAUGUGGCUCAAGCGGUAGCGCGCUGGCCUGGCAGAUGCGUUCCGCCCGGUUCGAUCCUCAGCACCACAUACAAACAAAGAUGUGGUGCCCUUCCUGCCCACAUUACUGCGCACCUGUCCCCCACCCUUAGGGUCUUCCCACCUACAUUCUAUCACUGCAGGAUAACAGAACAAAAGACAGGAAUGCUGGCUGGAAUAUGGGAAAGCUGAAAGAAGAAGACCUCAGCCUUCCAUGGAUUCUACUUCUUGGGUCCCCUUCUUCCUUCUGGGAGAAGUCUUCUCUACUGUCCUUUAAUGAAGUUUUACUUUCCACUCUAAAUAAAUAAAUAGAUAAAUAAAUAAAUCACUGAAUGAUUUUGGCACCCUUGAAAAAAAUCAAUUCACUGUAGAUAUGGGAUUUUACAUCUGGACUCUCAAUUCUAUUCCAUUGACCUUUAUAUCUGUUAAAUUGCUAGUAUUAUACUAUUUUGAUUAUUGUAGCUCUGCAGUUAAAUUUUGAAAUUGGCAAAUGUGAAUCUUCAACUUUUUUCUCCUUUUUGAAAAUUGUUUUCACCAUUUGGGGCCUUUGCAAUUCCAAAUGAAUUUAAGAAUUAAUGUUUCCAAUUCUACAAUAAAAAGCCAUUAGAAUUUUAGAGGGAUAGCAUUGAGUCUUUAAAUUGCUUUGAGUAUACUUGCUAUUCUAAUCAUGUUUACAUCAUCCAGUCCACAUGUGACCCCAUUUACUUAGGUGUUCCUCAAUUUCUUCCAGCAGUGUUUUGCAAUUUUUUUUUUUUGUACCAGGGAUUUCACCCAGGUGCUUAACCACAGAGCCACAUCUCAGACAUUUUUAUAUUUUAUUUAGGAGAUAGAGUCUUGCUAAGUUGCUUAGGCUGGCUUUGAAAUCACAAUCCUACUGCCUCAGCCUCCCCAGCUGCUGGAAUUACAGGCAUGUGCCACCAAGCCUGGCUGUUUUUAAUGUCUGAGCCUUUCAUUUCCUGGAGUAAAUUUAUUCCUAGGUAUUUUAUUAUUUUUGAUGCUAUUGUAAAUGGAAUUGCUUUGUCAAUUUUCUUUCCAGGUAGUUCAUUGUUGAUAUGUAGAAACAGUUGAUUUAAAAUAUAUAUAUAUAUAUAUAUAUAUAUAUAUAUAUAUAUAGUUGUAGAUGAAUACAAUACCUAUAUUUUAUUUUUAAUGUAGUGCUGAGGAUCUAACCCAGUGCUUCAUGCUAGGUAAGAGCUCUACCACUAAGCUACAACCCCCAGCCCAAAUUAUAUAUAUAUAUAUAUAUAUAUAUAUAUAUAUAUAUAUAUAUAUAUAUGGUGUAGAUGGACACAAUACAUUUGUUUUUAUGUGGUGCUGAGGAUCUGGGGAUCCAACCCAAUGCCUCACAUGUGCUAAGUAAGCACUCUACCACUGAGCCACAACCCCAGCCACACUGUUGAUUUUUGUGUUGAUCUUGUACCUUGUAGCUUUGCCAGACUUGUUAACAUUUUUGUGGAACUUUUGGCAUUUUCUAUAUAAAGUUCGUGUUAUCUAUGAAUAGGGAUAGUUUUGUGUCUUAUUUCUGUUAUGCUCGAAUUUGGGACCCCCCCAAAAGACCACCAGAGACCAAGAUCGAUGUAAGCAGCAAAGAGGUGUUUAUUGCGAGCUAGCUUGGUCCUCUGUGUGCGCACAGCAACUGGUGAUGCUGAGAGGCCCCGAGCCCAGGGUUUGCAGCAGUUUUAUACACUCUUUGGGGAAGGCAGGGACUUCACAUAUAUCAUAACAUCUCUUAGCAAAUUAUCACACACCACGGGAAAAUCAUAAAACAAGUCUAAAACAUGAUUAGCACAUUCACUGGCGGGAACAAGUUGGGUAGGAGUGAUUGGUUAGUACAAGAGGGGGAUUUGUUUGAACUGAUUGGUUUAAACCACGAGGGGAGUACAUGCUGAACUACAUGGUUUCCCAACAUGUUAUCAACCAUCAUAAACUACUGGGAGGGUCAUCUGGCAUCCCAGGUAUUUCCCUGUCUCAUGCUGAUUGGUGGCUGCUAGGGGGUUGCUAUGGGUCCUCACCUAGCCUGACUGAGUCAGGGACACCUGGCGCCACAGAUCUCUCCAGUUAUCUACAGACAAACAACUCAGCAGGGUGGAUAUGUGCCUAGGAGUGCUCUGUGGGUCUUUCCAAGGACAAGGGUCACGCCCCCUUCCUUGGACAGGCUUUGCUCUGAGGUAGAGGCUGGUUUUUCAAUUUCCUCAUCUGGAUGCCUUUUAUUCAUUUUCUUGGCUAAAUGCUUUGGCUGAACCAAUCUUCGUUAUUUAAUUUCUACAUAUUUGUGAAUUUUCCAGUUUUCUUUCUACUAUUGAUUUCUAGCUUCAUUCCAUUGUGGUCAGAUAAGAUAUUUAGUAUGAUUUCAAUAUUUCAAAAUUCAUUGAACAUAUCCAUGUGCUCUUGAGAAAAAUAUUGCUGUUGUUGAGGGGGUGUUCUAUAUAUGUCUGUUAGGUAUAGUGGGUUUAUAAUGCCAUUCAAGUCAUCUUCUUGAAUUUUAUUAUUCUGUCUAGAUGUUCUAUUUAUUAUUGAAAGUGGGGGUGUUGAAGUGUAUCAAAAAAGACCUCAAGUAGGAGCAACUGGAGAUGGAGGAAAAACACAGAGACAAAGAAAACAGACAUUUUCAAGUAAAGUUGGGGCCAGGUGGGGUGCUGUACUCUGAGGAACAGUGACCCAGAACUAGCUCUACAAGUUAUUAUAUAGGGCCUCACAAUCAGGAAGUUAAACUAUAGGGGCACUGUAAAUUGUUCAAGGCUUAUAAAUUAUAAAGAGGCUUCUUUGUGCACUAAAACGUUACAGAGCUAGAAACAUUUUUGCAGCUAUCCUGCUACACCCAGGGGCUUCCAGGGUGUACUGGAAGGUUAGAUAACUGUUAGCGUCAGAGCUGAGUGUGGAGGCUGUUAACAUCUUUGCCUUUUGGUAAGGAGUGUUUCCCAGGCCUGGCUUUUUCUGAUACCUUAAGAGCAGUGGAUAACUGGGAGCUCAUCCGAUCUCCACAUUGAAGUCUCCAACUACUUCUAUUUCUCCCUUCAAUUCUGUCAGAUAUUCAUAUAUUUUAGGAACUCUACUAUUGUUUUAUCUUCUUGAGUGAUUUAUAAUCUCUCUCUCUCUCAGAGUUUGUCCUACUUCAGGGCAAAAGAGCUGGAUGAUGAUGAUGAUGAUGAUGAUGAUGAUGAUUUUGCACUGGGGAUCGAACCCAGGGCCUUGUGCCUGCAAGGCAAGCACUCUACCAACUGGCUGUGUCCCCAGCCCAAAGUUGCUGGACUUUUGAACUCACACAUCAGUCACUGAAUAUAGGUUCCCCUGGAAGAGGGCAGAGAAUGGGUAAAGUGACUCCAGUGUCCAGCAGCAAGCAUCUGAAGGCGGAACAUACAGAAUAUGGGUUCACAGUGCUGGUAAAAGAAAUUUGCGGAGAAGAUGAAAAGACUUCCCAUGUUUAUGGAUAAGUAGAAUUAAUAUUCUUAAAAUGGCCAUAAUACCAAAAGCAAUAUACAAAUUCAAUGUAACCCUCAUCAGAAUACCAAUGACAUUCUUCAGAGCACUUGCCUAGCACGUGUGAGGCACUGGGUUCAAUUCUCAGCACUGCAUAUAAAUAAAUAAAGUCCAUUGACAACCAAGAAAAUAUUUUAAAAAAAGAAGACAAGAAGAAAGUGUUGGGUGUUGGGGACUGUAGCUCAGUGCUGGAGCACUUGCCUAGCACAGGUGAGACUCUGGGUUCAAUCCCUAGCCCCCUCCCACCAAAUGUGUGUGUGUGUUUGUGUGUGUGUGUGUGUGUGUGUUUAAGUGCUAGGAGGCUGUCAGCUUUAUUUCCCCUUUCUAGUUUUUACAAUGCCUUCUAAUGCUCUAUAUGCGGCACCCUGUCUAUCAAAUAUGUGCUGGGUAGAUAAGAGGUUCCUAAGAGUUUUUCUACCUCUGUACCAAAGGCCUCCCUGCCAAUAAUGGUCAGGCAACAUAAUGAUGAUCAUAAUAAUGUUUAGCUUUAUUGAGCACUUACUAUAUGCCAGGAAGUACUCUGAGUGCUUUAUAUUCAUUAUCUCAUUUAAUCUGAGAAGUUAUACAGAGAGAUACCAUUAUAUUAUGAUUUCCAUUUUAUGGAGAAGAACCUAAGGUAAUAAAUGGGAAAGCUAUAAUCUAAAUCUUUAGGCUAUACGAGUCCAAAAACGAAGCUCUUGGCCUCACUCUCUGAAAGGUAUAAUUAAUGGUGAAAGGGUUUGAUUUCGUAUAUGUUAAAUAAACAACAAAACCUAUAAAAUAAAAUAUCGAUAAUGCAAGAAAAGGCUGGGGAUAUAGCUCAAGGUAGAGUGCUUGCUUAGCACAUGGGAUGCCUUGGUUCAAUCCUCAGUACUGAAAAAAAAUAAAAAACAUGAGAAACAAUUUUAUUAGAAAUAUCCUAACAUAUUUUCUGGACAAGUAAUCAAAAAAUAAAUAAGGACAUAGAAGAUAUGAACAUAUAAAUUUCUUUUACUCUGAAAACAACCAGUAUAACUCCUUUUCAAGUUUCAUGGACAGUGACAAAAUUCAAAAAAUAUUAAACUACAUAGAAUAUUUCAGUUUUGAAAAGUAGAAGUCGUAGAAGCCAUUCUCUGAGCAAAACGCAGCACAACCAACAAUAUAUAAAACAUGCCACUUAGAAAUUUAAAAACAUAAAUAGUAAAUUAUCCUUAAGGAGUACAUCAAGAUUAAAAACAGACUGUUUGGAAAAUAAUUUGAGGUUGGAGUUGUGGUUCAGUGGUAGAGCACUUGCCUAGAAUGUGUGAGGCACUGGGUUCAACUCUCAGCACCGCAUAUAAAUAAAUAAAUAAAGGUCCAUCAACAACUAAAUGAAAAUAAUUUAAAUAGCCAAAGUUAUAUGUAGAGGUAAAUUAGCAGCAUUAAAUGCUUUUUAGUUUCAAAAAGAGAGAAAAAUAAAAUGAACGAAUUAUGCAUGCAGAUUGAGAUUUUGUAAAAUAAAGUAAUAAUUAUUCCCUCCAAGUGAGAGAAAGGGAAUAUUUGACAUAGAAAACAGAAAACCAAACCAAACAAAAACCCAAAAGCCUAAGAGCUGGUGGGACGUGCUUUGUGCCUGUGGAUAGACAAGUACGUAGUAGUGUCUGUGUGAAUUUGGUCUUCUGACAUGCGGCUCUAGAUUUUUCUACAUUUGACUAUCCUGUACCUCUAUUGUGGCACUGUAUAUGUUGCUUGACAGUGAAUUUUUCCACUUAUGACUCUCUUGACAGGACAGAGACCAUCUCUCCAUGCUCAUUGUAUUCUUGGGACUUGGUGUGUGGUGUUGGACCCUUGAUAAAUGUUUGCUGAAUAGAAUCAAUGGAUGAGUUCAAGUAUCGACUCCCACGUCUCCCAUGUUGUAUUUAGUCCCCAGAGUUCCUUCUGUCUCCACUGCCUAGCCACAUGCCCCAAGCCAAUGUCAUGAGGCCUGAAAUGAAUUAUUCUUACAAUAAGGGACAAACAAUGAAAUAUCUGCCUAGUGGAAUAUUAUGUAACCAAUAAUAAUUGUGUUGGCAAUGUGAAUAAAAUAUGAAGAUGUGGGGCUUUG
rnacentral:lncRNA from 1 species